AUGGCUGCCAAAGCUUCUUCAAACUUUGCCUCUAAAAAGAAUCUUAGUAAUGGUUCUUUCUUGAGACAAGGUCAAUUAAUGAAAGAGGAAGAAGAUGUUAAAGGGUAUGGUGAUUGGAGUAAGAAAUUGCUUGCAAAAUCAAAUUUUGAAAUGUAUGAGAAGUCUUCUUAUACAUCAACUGGUGACAUAGUUUAUACCAUGAAUAUGUUAGGCUUCCGAAGUGUUUAUUGUCGUAUUCUCAAUGUUGAUGGUCAAAUCUCUUAA